GAGCCUGUAGCUCAGCAGGAUAGAGCAACGGCCUUCUAAGCCGUGUGUCGGGAGUUCGAAUCUCUUCAGGCUCGCCA
rnacentral:tRNA from 5 species